rnacentral:rRNA from 1 species
AACGAACGCUGGCGGCAUGCCUAACACAUGCAAGUCGAACGAGACCUUCGGGUCUAGUGGCGCACGGGUGCGUAACGCGUGGGAACCUGCCCUUAGGUUCGGAAUAACUCCCCGAAAGGGGUGCUAAUACCGGAUAAUGUCUUCGGACCAAAGAUUUAUCGCCUUUGGAUGGGCCCGCGUUGGAUUAGCUAGUUGGUAGGGUAAAAGCCUACCAAGGCGACGAUCCAUAGCCGGUCUGAGAGGAUGAUCAGCCACACUGGGACUGAGACACGGCCCAGACUCCUACGGGAGGCAGCAGUGGGGAAUAUUGGACAAUGGGCGAAAGCCUGAUCCAGCAAUGCCGCGUGAGUGAUGAAGGCCUUAGGGUUGUAAAGCUCUUUUACCCGGGAUGAUAAUGACAGUACCGGGAGAAUAAGCUCCGGCUAACUCCGU